GGGGAUUUAGCUCAGUGGUAGAGCGUUUGCCUAGCAAGCGCAAGGCCCUGGGUUCGGUUCCCAGCUCCG
rfam:Rattus norvegicus chromosome 12, whole genome shotgun sequence.